rnacentral:sRNA from 1 species
CAACAACGGAAAGGAGGUGAUCGGAUGUCUCAUUGUCAGAUGCCGAUUACGGCAACGAAAACGAUCGUGGCGGCUUCGCUGGAGCAUGGCCGGAUCUGAACGGUUGCCGGCCUCGGUCGACAAUGGAAAGGCCGCUCCGUGUCGGGGCGGCCUU